GACGGAGGGUGCUAGCGUUGUUCGGAAUCACUGGGCGUAAAGCGCACGUAGGCGGAUUGUUAAGUCAGGGGUGAAAUCCUGGAGCUCAACUCCAGAACUGCCUUUGAUACUGGCGAUCUCGAGUCCGGGAGAGGUGAGUGGAACUGCGAGUGUAGAGGUGAAAUUCGUAGAUAUUCGCAAGAACACCAGUGGCGAAGGCGGCUCACUGGCCCGGUACUGACGCUGAGGUGCGAAAGCGUGGGGAGCAAACAGG
rnacentral:rRNA from 1 species